UUGACCCAAACAGUUUGAUAAGAGCUAAAUCGAACUAACCAAUGAAACAACGUCUUGCAAAACGGCAAAUCGGCGAAUAUUUACUGCGAAGUUUUCAAGAUGUCUGCCUCCAUGGAUACUGUAAACAACUUUUCAGAUCAUGAGUUUGGUAAUUUUAAUCUUCGGACACAAGGAUGACGACAAUUAAGAGUCCAUCAAUGGUUGUGAAAUCAAGGAUAUUCUAUUGGAAGGAAAGACAUGAAUGCAUUCAAGUUUCCUGUGAGCAAUAUGAUUUCCUGACUUUGCCUUACAGUAUAAAACAAGAGAGUUAAACACUUGAAACUUGAAAAGAUGUGGUCCUAGAACCUGAAAUGGCAACUCCAGCUCUCUACAAAAGCAUCAUCUGGAAUCCAACUAUGUACAAUCAAAAAAUUAAUGUGUG